UAAGUUCCUAAAAUGGCGGCCGCCUCUUGUGCUGUCGUCGAACGAAUUCCACUGGUCGAUUUUGUUAUCGAGAUUCCGAUGUCAUCUGAAUAUGAAAUCAUGAAAAAUUAUCCACCAUCAACGAAACGAAUCAUUAUAUUGAAUAAGACGGACCUAGCGGAUCGGUCACAGACAGAGGACUGGACAAGAUAUUUUGAAGACCAUGCAUCUCUUAUGGCGUUAGGUGAAUAUUAGGGAGGUAAAGAGCUAAGAUGUAAUCUUUUUGUGUUCAUUUUUAAUUGCUAUCUUGUUUGAGCAACAUAUUUUCCUCUUACUUUCCAGCUUUGAAAUGCUGUUGAUGGUAAUUGUCAGAUGUCUUGGCUGUGUAUGCAUUUUUUUUUUCUCUAACCAUGUUUUGUGCAAAAUUAAGUGCCAACUAAUUGUAAUUUAUACAUCCCAUAUUCCAAAAUGAUACUUUGUCACCGUGGGACAAUCCAUUAUUUGUUCGAUCUUUUGAGCUGGCCUUAGUUGUUCAAAUAACAAUUAAGGUGAAGGAAGGUCAGGAACAACGAAUCUCUUUAUGAUAAACAGAUUCAUUUUGCAAGUUCAUUAUUGUGGGUAGUUCCUACAAAGGAUCGGACUAAUGACAUAUACAAUACUUGAAUUCU